rnacentral:rRNA from 1 species
AACGCCGCGUGAGUGAUGAAGGUUUUCGGAUCGUAAAGCUCUGUCGGUAGGGAAGAACACCUUGUGAGGUAAUAUCUCACAAGGCUGACGGUACCUACAAAGGAAGCACCGGCUAACUCCGUGCCAGCAAACUUCGGUGACUGAGCGGGCUGGCAAGGCGCAUA